AUUGAACGCUGGCGGCAGGCCUAACACAUGCAAGUCGAGCGGAUGAAGGGAGCUUGCUCCUGGAUUCAGCGGCGGACGGGUGAGUAAUGCCUAGGAAUCUGCCUGGUAGUGGGGGAUAACGUCCGGAAACGGGCGCUAAUACCGCAUACGUCCUGAGGGAGAAAGUGGGGGAUCUUCGGACCUCACACUAUCAGAUGAGCCUAGGUCGGAUUAGCUAGUUGGUGGGGUAAAGGCCUACCAAGGCGACGAUCCGUAACUGGUCUGAGAGGAUGAUCAGUCACAAUGGAACUGAGACACGGUCCAGACUCCUACGGGAGGCAGCAGUGGGGAAUAUUGGACAAUGGGCGAAAGCCUGAUCCAGCCAUGCCGCGUGUGUGAAGAAGGUCUUCGGAUUGUAAAGCACUUUAAGUUGGGAGGAAGGGCAGUAAGUUAAUACCUUGCUGUUUUGACGUUACCAACAGAAUAAGCACCGGCUAACUUCGUG
rnacentral:rRNA from 1 species